rnacentral:rRNA from 1 species
UACGUAGGUGGCGAGCGUUGUCCGGAUUUACUGGGCGUAAAGAGCGCGCAGGCGGUCGUACAAGUCGCGUGUGAAAGCCCCCGGCUCAACUGGGGAGGUCACGCGAUACUGUUCGACUCGAAGGCAGGAGAGGGAAGCGGAAUUCCCGGUGUAGUGGUGAAAUGCGUAGAUAUCGGGAGGAACACCAGUGGCGAAGGCGGCUUCCUGGCCUGUUCUUGACGCUGAGGCGCGAAAGCUAGGGUAGCAAACGGG